rnacentral:rRNA from 1 species
UUGACCUCAAAUCAGGUAGGACUACCCGCUGAACUUAAGCAUAUCAAUAAGCGGAGGAAAAGAAACUAACAAGGAUUCCCCUAGUAACUGCGAGUGAAGCGGGAAGAGCUCAAAUUUAAAAUCUGGCGGUCUUGCGGCCGUCCGAGUUGUAAUCUGGAGAAGCGUUUAUCCGCGUCGGACCGUGUACAAGUCUUCUGGAAGGGAGCGUCGUAGAGGGUGAGAAUCCCGUCUUUGACACGGACAACCGGUGCUUUUGUGAUGCGCUCUCGAGAGUCGAGUGUUUGGGAAUGCAGCUCAAAUGGGUGGUAAAUUCCAUCUAAAGCUAAUAUUGGCGAGAGACCGAUAGCGAACAAGUACCGUGAGGG